rnacentral:rRNA from 1 species
CAGGAUGAACGCUAGCUACAGGCUUAACACAUGCAAGUCGAGGGGCAGUCAGGAUUGUGCUUGCACAGAUUGCUGGCGACCGGCGCACGGGUGAGUAACGCGUAUCCAACCUUCCCCUUAGUAGAGGAUAGCCCGGCGAAAGUCGGAUUAAUACUCUAUGUUGUUCAAUGCGGACAUCUAAGUUGAACCAAAGGUUUACCGCUAAGGGAUGGGGAUGCGUCUGAUUAGGUAGUAGGCGGGGUAACGGCCCACCUAGCCAUCGAUCAGUAGGGGUUCUGAGAGGAAGGUCCCCCACAUUGGAACUGAGACACGGUCCAAACUCCUACGGGAGGCAGCAGUGAGGAAUAUUGGUCAAUGGUCGAGAGACUGAACCAGCCAAGUAGCGUGCAAGGAUGACGGCCCUAUGGGUUGUAAACUGCUUUUAUGCGGGGAUAAAGUCACCCACGUGUGGGUGUUUGCAGGUACCGCAUGAAUAAGGACCGGCUAAUUCCGUGCCAGCAGCGGC